rnacentral:misc_RNA from 1 species
GUGAGUCACCGAAUCUUUGAACGCACCUUGCGCCUCUUGGUAUUCCGAGAGGCAUGCCUGUUUGAGUGUCAUUAAAUUCUCAACUUCAAAAGCUUUGUCUUUUUGAAGCUUGGAUGUGAAGGCUUGCUGGCGUUUUAAAUGUUCAGCUCCUUUGAAAAGUAUUAGUGGACCCGUUUGUGUUCAUCCUUAGUGUGAUAAUUAUCUACGCUAUGGCUUUGAAUGCAUGCUCAUUAGAAUCUUCGAGCUGUUUUACUGCAGUCUUGGUGUGGAGAGUUGCAUGAAUUUGCUCUUUCUGUCUCU